AGGGGGACGUUGAUGAUUCUAAUCCGUUCGUUCGCAUCGUACAGCAACACGGCAGCUCCUAGCUAGAAACACAGCGAGCAUAUCCAGCCCAAAGCCCAGUUCAACAAAUAGAAGAGGAAAAGCACUGCUCCGCUUGAGAGAAAAAAAAAGCUCCCGUCCAUAAUUCCUCUUCCUUGCCAUUGCCGUUCGCUCACUCACACAGUGUAGCUCCACACUAGCCAUCAGCUGCACCAGGUCGGAGAGGCCGCUCUCAACCAGCGCCCGUGCCGGCCAGGUGGACGCGCUCGACCUCUCGUUGGUGCUAUCUUCCUUGGCGAACUCCGGGGAUCCAACUCCGGUAGAGGCCUCCAAGCGGAGGAGCAAGAGGGCUUGCCGGCCUGGUCGCCGCGCUCGAUCUCUGCGUUGCGGCUUCCCUGGCGCACACCGUCCGCGUCCUCCAAGCGGAGGAGCAGGAGCGCCUGCCGGGAUGCUCGACGCGCUCCGCUUCCUUGGCGAACGCCGGCCGCGUCCUCGAAGCGGAUGAGCAGGAGCGCUUGCCGGCUUGGUCGCUGCGCUCGAUCUCUGUGUUGUGGCUUCCCUUGUGCACGUCGGCCGCGUCCUCUAAGCGGAGGAGCAGGAGCUCAACAUCUGGCGUGCAUUACUCAACAAGUCAUUUGGUGGGCUAGCAUCUGUGGGAGUGGUACAUGGAUAUCGUGUUUCUUCCAUUGGCAAUGGGAUGCUUGAUGAACUUCAGCAAACUACUUCCAUGAGAAACAUGAAGAUUUGAUCAAGUUCCAAAGAAACCUCAAGGUGAGAGUUUGAUCUACUCAAGUGAUUACCUUCGUGUGGAAAACUGUACGACAAGCUGAUAAAUCCAAGCCAAUGAGAAUUUACCUGAGAAUGAUGAGCAGAGCUGCGUGCCCAGGCGAUCCCUUUUUCUCGCGUUGUUUCUUUCUAUCGAUGAUCUCGCGCUCUUUUUCUCUGUUCUGGCGCCUUUUCUAUUUUGGAGCGAGCCAUUACCUCUUUACUGAUCUGGGCUUUUGGGCCAGAUGUGCGCUGUGUUUGCAGUACUUGGCCGUGCUGCCGUGUUGCCGUACGAUGCGAACGAACGGAUUAGAAUCAUCAACGUCCCCCUGCAGUACUUGGCUCAACGUAAGAGGAUCU